rnacentral:rRNA from 1 species
GAUGAACGCUGGCGGCGUGCCUAAUACAUGCAAGUAGAACGCUGAAGGAAGGAGCUUGCUCUUUCCGGAUGAGUUGCGAACGGGUGAGUAACGCGUAGGUAACCUGCCUGGUAGCGGGGGAUAACUAUUGGAAACGAUAGCUAAUACCGCAUAACAGUAGAUGUUGCAUGAUAUCUACUUAAAAGGUGCAAUUGCACCACUACCAGAUGGACCUGCGUUGUAUUAGCUAGUUGGUGAGGUAACGGCUCACCAAGGCGACGAUACAUAGCCGACCUGAGAGGGUGAUCGGCCACACUGGGACUGAGACACGGCCCAGACUCCUACGGGAGGCAGCAGUAGGGAAUCUUCGGCAAUGGACGGAAGUCUGACCGAGCAACGCCGCGUGAGUGAAGAAGGUUUUCGGAUCGUAAAGCCCUGUUGUAAGAGAAGAACGAGUGUGAGAGUGGAAAGUUCACACUGUGACGGUAUCUUACCAGAAAGGGACGGCUAACUACGUG